CGUUUAUUGAGCUUUCCCUCGGGGAGCGGGAACCUAACUUGCCUUAGUGCUGCAGAAUCAGAAAGCGCGCGAGGGCGCCCACUCCCGGGACAGUAGGAAGAAAGGGGAAGGGCACCAACGUGCAAGGGGCAGGCAUCCAAACUUCAGGAGGAAAGCUUGGUUUCCCCGGGCUCGGCUUGGUCCUCCUCCUCUUUCCGCUGCCUGGGAAACCGCCCUCGGGUGCUCUCUGGCCUCUGGGACAGACAGGAAAGAAAACUCCUAAGCAGGGGAGGAUCUUAUUCCCUGACUCGCUUUUGGUUGCAAAGCCAGUCACCUGACCUCAGAGAUCUUUGCAAGGGUUUACGAACUGCAUCUUGUUGUUUUCCAAAGCAGGGGUCUGUGGUCUGUGGUCCGGAUGGACACCGACUGACUGAACCGGCGCCUCGCGAUGGGCAUGGAAGCCGCUUCCGCCCCCAAGCCCAUCAGAGGGCCGUGGUCAACGCCCUCCCCCCGCCCCGUUUCCUCAACAGCCCCUCCAAAUCUCCAUCGCCUGCCUCAAGCGGGAUCGUCCUCUCAUACCGUUCGGGACCCGAAGAGAUCAGAGGCCAGCUAGUCAAGAACUCUCCGUUUCCCGCACCCCCCCACCCCCGUUUGAACGUCCCUCUAUUUCUCUCCACCCACCCCUCCCCUUUCCCUUUGGUUUUCCAGGAAGAGGGAUUCAGCUUGGCAGUUCCAGGGGCCCGGCUCCACGUGGGGUGCCCUGGGAACCAUCUGCUCAGCCUCCCCCAAAGAUCUCGUUCCCUCAGUUUGCCAGCUGCUUUCUCUUCGGCCCGUCUCUUUCCUUAAGCCGCUGAGCACACCCAAGUCUCUCUCCCGGCAUCCACACCUCUCCUUUCUGCUCCUCCACCACCGCCUUCUCUCUCUACCUUUCACGGCUAAGCUGCUGCCAAAAGACCUCGACUCCUCUCCUCGUCAGCCAUCCAGUCAUCGCCUCGUCUCUCACCGGCUCCUCGAAAGACUCCCCAAAUCUCGUCGCCGUCCCGUCCUGGCAAGAGGCCAGGGCACGCCCUUCGGUUCCUUCGUCUUCCUAAACUCCCUGUGGUGUCUGAGGAAUGCUGCCCACGUCUUCAGUCUCUGCAAGUUCUCUCCACCCUCUUUCUCUGGGGGAUGGCCCCCUCCCCAGGUGCCCUUCCUAACCUCAGACCCCUCUGUCUCACUUUCCUCUGCGGCUUCUCCUCCCGACCACUUCUCAAAGGGUUCUGUUCCCGAAGGCACGGUCUUCAGGGAACAGGAACCCCUCGGGUCUCAGAGCAAGCUCAUGCGCUCUCCUACGAUUCGACUCGCCCCCCGGAUGCCCAGGGCUUCGGAGUGCGUACGACUGACGUCACCCUGCCCCUGACUCCACGCUGCUUUCUCUAACUGUCUGCUGGACGCACCUCUCAGGAUGUCCGAAGGCUUCUCAAAACCGACACGUCCAAAAGGGAGCCCGAACAACAGGAAGACGGCAGAUCAGAGAGCAGCUUGAUGGCAGCCCCCCCCCCCCGGCCCCCGCCCGAGCGGACAUCGUGCAGAGGCUUGGACCAGCUGAAAUGACGGAUCGCCCACUUUCCGCGUCACGGACAGAGAUCCUCGGCGUGCAACACGUCGAACCCCACUGACUUCGCACUUGUGACCCACGAAGAAAUACCAGUGACAGUCGCACCUGAGCAGAGGACUCUUCAAGCUUCACCCCCAGCGCUCUCCUGGUCCCACCCC
ensembl:lncRNA